GACGAACGCUGGCGGCGUGCUUAACACAUGCAAGUCGAACGGUGAUGCUCCAGCUUGCUGGAGUGGAUCAGUGGCGAACGGGUGAGUAACACGUGAGCAACCUGCCCCAGACUCUGGAAUAAGCGCUGGAAACGGCGUCUAAUACUGGAUACGAAACUGGCCCGCAUGGGCAUGGUUUGGAAAGUUUUUCGGUUUGGGAGGGGCUCGCGGCCUAUCAGCUUGUUGGUUAGGUAAUCGCUCACCAAGGCUACGACGGGUAGCCGGCCUGAGAGGGGGACCGGCCACACUGGGACUGAGACACGGCCCAGACUCCUCCGGGAGGCAGCGGUGGGGAAUAUUGCACAAUGGGCGAAAGCCUGAUGCAGCGAAGCCGCGUGGGGGAUGACGGCAUUCGGGUUGUAAACCUCUUUCAGCAGGGAAGAAGCGAAAGUGACGGUACCUGCAGAAGAAGCACCGGCUAACUACGUG
rnacentral:rRNA from 1 species